rnacentral:sRNA from 1 species
AUCGCCGGUGUUUGCGGGUGGUUGUUGCUCUCGGGGCCGUGUGGAGUAGGUCUGGACCUGGACUCACGGCUGCUUGGAGCGUCCGCCAUGAGGAGAAGUGAGGUGCUGGCGGAGGAGUCCAUAGUAUGUCUGCAGAAAGCCCUAAAUCACCUUCGGGAAAUAUGGGAGCUAAUUGGGAUUCCAGAGGACCAGCGGUUACAAAGAACUGAGGUGGUAAAGAAGCAUAUCAAGGAACUCCUGGAUAUGAUGAUUGCUGAAGAGGAAAGCCUGAAGGAAAGACUCAUCAAAAGCAUAUCCGUCUGUCAGAAAGAGCUGAACACUCUGUGCAGCGAGUUACAUGUUGAGCCAUUUCAGGAAGAAGGAGAGACAACCAUCUUGCAACUAGAAAAAGAUUUGCGCACCCAAGUGGAAUUGAUGCGAAAACAGAAAAAGGAGAGAAAACAGGAACUGAAGCUACUUCAAGAGCAAGAUCAAGAACUGUGCGAAAUUCUUUGUAUGCCCCACUAUGAUAUUGACAGUGCCUCAGUGCCCAGCUUAGAAGAGCUGAACCAGUUCAGGCAACAUGUGACAACUUUGAGGGACACAAAGGUACACUGCCUACAUUUGUUCUUCCUAAAAGUCACUUUGGUUUUCCUCUAGGUAUCUUGUAAUUGCUUUGUUUUAAAGGCUUCUAGGCGUGAGGAGUUUGUCAGUAUAAAGAGACAGAUCAUACUGUGUAUGGAAGAAUUAGACCACACCCCAGACACAAGCUUUGAAAGAGAUGUGGUGUGUGAAGACGAAGAUGCCUUUUGUUUGUCUUUGGAGAAUAUUGCAACACUACAAAAGUUGCUACGGCAGCUGGAAAUGCAGAAAUCACAAAAUGAAGCAGUGUGUGAGGGGCUGCGUACUCAAAUCCGAGAGCUCUGGGACAGGUUGCAAAUACCUGAAGAAGAA